GACGAACGCUGGCGGCGCGCUUAACACAUGCAAGUCGAGCGAAGCGGCGGACGGGUUAGUAACACGUGAGUAACCUGCCUUAGACAUUGGGAUAGCCUCGGGAAACCGGGAUUAAUACCAAAUGGUCUAAGAUGGACUCGCGUCCCAUUCACUAGUUGGUGAGGUAACGGACCACCAAGGAGACGAGGGGUAGCCGGCCUGAGAGGGUGAACGGCCACAUUGGAACUGAGAAACGUUCCAAAUUUCACGGGAGGCAGCAGGGGGGAAUAGUGCACAAUGGAGGGAAGUCUGAUGCAGCGGCGUCGCGUGAACGAAGAAGGCUUUCGAGUCGUAAAGCUCUUUUAUAUGGGAAGCGGUACCAUAAGAAAAAGCCACGGCUAACUACGUGCCAGCAGCCGCGGUAAUAC
rnacentral:rRNA from 1 species